rnacentral:rRNA from 1 species
UACGUAGGUGGCAAGCGUUGUUCGGAAUUAUUGGGCGUAAAGGGCGCAUAGGCGGUUUGUUAAGUCAGCUGUGAAAGCCCGGGGCUCAACCCCGGAGGGUCGGCUGAUACUGGCAGGCUAGAGUACGGAAGAGGUAGCUGGAAUUCCCGGUGUAGCGGUGAAAUGCGGUAGAUAUCGGGAGGAACACCUGAGGCGAAGGCGGCUCACUGGCCCGGUACUGACGCGUGAGGCG